GAAAUGCGAUAAGUAGUGUGAAUUGCAGAAUUCAGUGAAUCAUCGAAUCUUUGAACGCACAUUGCGCCCUUUGGUAUUCCAAAGGGCAUGCCUGUUCGAGCGUCAUUUGUACCCUCAAGCUUUGCUUUGUGUUGGGCGUCUUGUCUCUAGCUUUGCUGGAGACUCGCCUUAAAGUAAUUGGCAGCCGGCCUACUGGUUUCGGAGCGCAGCACAAGUCGCACUCUCUAUCAGCAAAGGUCUAGCAUCCAUUAAGCCUUUUUUCAACUUUUGACCUCGGAUCAGGUAGGGAUACCCGCUGAACUUAAGC
rnacentral:misc_RNA from 1 species